rnacentral:rRNA from 1 species
AUUGAACGCUGGCGGCAGGCCUAACACAUGCAAGUCGAGCGGUAGAGAGAAGCUUGCUUCUCUUGAGAGCGGCGGACGGGUGAGUAAUGCCUAGGAAUCUGCCUGGGUAGUGGGGGAUAACGCUCGGAAACGGACGCUAAUACCUCAUACGUCCUACGGGAGAAAGCAGGGGACCUUCGGGCCUUGCGCUAUCAGAUGAG